GAUGAACGCUAGCGGUAGGCUUAACACAUGCAAGUCGAGGGGCAUCACAUGUAGCAAUACAAGGUGGCGACCGGCGCACGGGUGAGUAACGCGUAUGCAACCUACCUUAUACAGGGGAAUAGCUCUCGGAAACGAGGAUUAAUGUCCCAUAGUAUUAUUUUAAGGCAUCUUAGGAUAAUUAAAGCUACGGCGGUAUAAGAUGGGCAUGCGUGCCAUUAGGUAGUUGGUAGGGUAAUGGCCUACCAAGCCUUCGAUGGUUAGGGGUUCUGCAAGGAAGGUCCCCCACACUGGUACUGAGACACGGACCAGACUCCUACGGGAGGCAGCAGUGAGGAAUAUUGGUCAAUGGGCGCAAGCCUGAACCAGCCAAGCCGCGUGCAGGAAGACGGCCCUAUGGGUUGUAAACUGCUUUUAUAUAGGAAUAAGUAUUUAUACGAGUUAUAGAUUUUGCAUGUACUAUAUGAAUAAGCAUCGGCUAACUCCGUG
rnacentral:rRNA from 1 species